UGUAAAAUGCGUUCUUAUUCAAGUUUUCAACUCAGUCAUUCGUUUAAGAUGCAAUCUUGUGUUAUAAGUAUUAGGCUAUCAUGAUUAUACAGUGAGCAAGCUAUAUAAAUAAGUAUUUAAUAUAAUAAGUGUAGAGCAACAACCGAGGGUGUAAGGUAAAGGCUGAAUAUUGUAGAUUUAUUACAAUAUGUUGCAUGUUUGAAUUAAAAUACCUGUGGAUAUGCAGGAGCACACACUCUACAAAGGCCUGACUGGAGAUUUGCCUGAUCUAUCCGUCCUUCAGAUGACAGCGGCUCGCUUCAAGAGCAGGUGAAGCAAGUUGGGACAAUGUUGAAGACAUUUGCUCGCACUGGGCAAUCGGGUGCAGAUCAAACCCUAAUGCUGCGACGUCUUGGGAGUUUGGCGAUGUUGUGCGUAGCAUGGACGACAAAAUGCUAUGCUGCAACGUUUCAGUGCCAAUGUGUCUGUUGGAGAGUUAUCCCUGACAGGGGAUCUGUUACUCCCCCCUAGACACCCAGGAAGAUUUGGCGUUGCUUGACAACAGUUUGAGGCAGGAUAAAGAGCUCCAGCAACGAUUUCUUCGGUUUUUGGCAAUCAAAUGUGGGAGGGACCUAAAGACAACCGUGUGGCUGAAUGCUUCAGAGUAUCUUCUCUAAUCACCUUUCCAUCAAUACAACCUGGACUGGUGUAGGGGAUAAAGCAUGUUUUAGAGACAUGUUCCUGAAGACCAUUGUUCAAAGAGCCAUCCGGUAGAACCCGGCAACACAGGAUGCCACUGAUGAGGUGAUCCAGGUUAACGUUACGCGUUACCUGAAAGGAGCAUCUGAACAUGAAGGUGGAAAAAGGCGCCGCACAGCUGAGAGGGACCCACAGCCGACCCCUUAAACCUAGGCUGACUACUGACACCCCAGCAUCACUGACAACUGGAACCCUUUCUUUAUCCUGCAGUCAGUAACAUCAAGACCCCUAAAGAAGCCUGCUAAAAGUGUCAGACUACACUCACCCAAUCCACACUGUUCACUGUGGAAAUUGCUCUUUUUUUUUUUUUUUUUUUUUUUCUCGUGACCCUGCUUUGAGGGCAGCUCCUUGGAUGAAUAUGGGAUGGUUUGUCCUUUUAUAUAGGCGCACGAGGAAUCACUGAAGAUAUGCCAAUUUGCACUGCCUCAUUCUGGGGGUCGGGAAAACCGGUGAUUCUUAGCCCAGAAGUCCCCAACCUCUCCAGACAUUCUGAUUGGCUGUGUUCUCUACAGCCAGAUUUUCUGCUGUUAAUUAUAUUUAUUCCCACUUGUUGUCAUGUGUAAGUUGAAUGUCAAAAUGUAUAUUAUACCUGCACAUUCCUUGAUACCAAAGAUCUCAAUUAUUUCAUAUACAAUUUGCUGCUUAUUUCAUUGUUACAGUGCUUAACUAUUCUAUUUUUAAAUAUAGCUUGUAAAUCCUAGAUUAUACAUCUAAUACUUGAUAUUUGCACAUUAUCUGGUAUCAAAUAUUCUACUUACCGUGACUUUAGUAUUGGCUUAUUUAAUUCCGUCAGUGCUUAACAAUUCUAUUAUAGUUUGUAAAUCCUAUUUCAUACCUCUGAUACUUGAUAUUGCACAUUAACUAGUACCAAAAAUUCUACUUUCAUUCCAUCACAGUGUUUAACUGUUAUUCUAUUGUUACAUAUAGCUUGUAAAUCCUUGUGCCACAAGUCAGCAUUGCAGUUAUAAUGGUAUAUUCUACUCCAGAGCUUUACUCUAAAUUAUUACCACUUAACCUAUUGUUAGAAAUGACUUGUAAAUAUGAUGUUAUACCUCAAUUUAUUUGGUAUCCUGCACUUUCUUUGGUACCAAAUAUCCUCAUUGCUUAUGUUUACUGGUAAUUCUUUUCAUCC